rnacentral:rRNA from 1 species
GAUGAACGCUAGCUACAGGCUUAACACAUGCAAGUCGAGGGGUAGCAUGGUCUUAGCUUGCUAAGGCCGAUGGCGACCGGCGCACGGGUGAGUAACACGUAUCCAACCUGCCGUCUACUCUUGGACAGCCUUCUGAAAGGAAGAUUAAUACAAGAUGGCAUCAUGAGUCCGCAUGUUCACAUGAUUAAAGGUAUUCCGGUAGACGAUGGGGAUGCGUUCCAUUAGAUAGUAGGCGGGGUAACGGCCCACCUAGUCUUCGAUGGAUAGGGGUUCUGAGAGGAAGGUCCCCCACAUUGGAACUGAGACACGGUCCAAACUCCUACGGGAGGCAGCAGUGAGGAAUAUUGGUCAAUGGGCGAGAGCCUGAACCAGCCAAGUAGCGUGAAGGAUGACUGCCCUAUGGGUUGUAAACUUCUUUUAUAAAGGAAUAAAGUCGGGUAUGCAUACCCGUUUGCAUGUACUUUAUGAAUAAGGAUCGGCUAACUCCGUGCCAGCAGCCGCGGUAAUACGGAGGAUCCGAGCGUUAUCCGGAUUUAUUGGGUUUAAAGGGAGCGUAGAUGGAUGUUUAAGUCAGUUGUGAAAGUUUGCGGCUCAACCGUAAAAUUGCAGUUGAUACUGGAUAUCUUGAGUGCAGUUGAGGCAGGCGGAAUUCGUGGUGUAGCGGUGAAAUGCUUAGAUAUCACGAAGAACUCCGAUUGGGAAGGCAGCCUGCUAAGCUGCAACUGACAUUGAGGCUCGAAAGUGGGGGUAUCAAACAGGAUUAGAUACCCUGGUAGUCCACACGGUAAACGAUGAAUACUCGCUGUUUGCGAUAUACAGCAAGCGGCCAAGCGAAAGCGUUAAGUAUUCCACCUGGGGAGUACGCCGGCAACGGUGAAACUCAAAGGAAUUGACGGGGGCCCGCACAAGCGGAGGAACAUGUGGUUUAAUUCGAUGAUACGCGAGGAACCUUACCCGGGCUUAAAUUGCAGAUGAAUUACGGUGAAAGCCGUAAGCCGCAAGGCAUCUGUGAAGGUGCUGCAUGGUUGUCGUCAGCUCGUGCCGUGAGGUGUCGGCUUAAGUGCCAUAACGAGCGCAACCCUUGUUGUCAGUUACUAACAGGUUCCGCUGAGGACUCUGACAAGACUGCCAUCGUAAGAUGUGAGGAAGGUGGGGAUGACGUCAAAUCAGCACGGCCCUUACGUCCGGGGCUACACACGUGUUACAAUGGGGGGUACAGAGGGCCGCUACCACGCGAGUGGAUGCCAAUCCCAAAAACCUCUCUCAGUUCGGACUGGAGUCUGCAACCCGACUCCACGAAGCUGGAUUCGCUAGUAAUCGCGCAUCAGCCACGGCGCGGUGAAUACGUUCCCGGGCCUUGUACACACCGCCCGUCAAGCCAUGGGAGCCGGGGGUACCUGAAGUGCGUAACCGCGAGGAG